rnacentral:rRNA from 1 species
AACACAUGCAAGUCGAGGGGAAACGAUAUUGGAAGCUUGCUUCCGAUAGGCGUCGACCGGCGCACGGGUGAGUAACGCGUAUCCAACCUGCCCACCACUUGGGGAUAACCUUGCGAAAGUAAGACUAAUACCCAAUGAUAUCUCUAGAAGACAUCUGAAAGAGAUUAAAGAUUUAUCGGUGAUGGAUGGGGAUGCGUCUGAUUAGCUUGUUGGCGGGGUAACGGCCCACCAAGGCAACGAUCAGUAGGGGUUCUGAGAGGAAGGUCCCCCACAUUGGAACUGAGACACGGUCCAAACUCCUACGGGAGGCAGCAGUGAGGAAUAUUGGUCAAUGGACGAGAGUCUGAACCAGCCAAGUAGCGUGCAGGAAGACGGCCCUAUGGGUUGUAAACUGCUUUUAUAAGGGAAUAAAGUGAGUCUCGUGAGACUUUUUGCAUGUACCUUAUGAAUAAGGACCGGCUAAUUCCGUGCCAGCAGCCGCGGUAAUACGGAAGGUCCGGGCGUUAUCCGGAUUUAUUGGGUUUAAAGGGAGCGUAGGCCGGAGAUUAAGCGUGUUGUGAAAUGUAGACGCUCAACGUCUGCACUGCAGCGCGAACUGGUUUCCUUGAGUACGCACAAAGUGGGCGGAAUUCGUGGUGUAGCGGUGAAAUGCUUAGAUAU